ensembl:lncRNA
CCGAGAUGACGUCCAUGCUUUGCCUCAUUUACAGAUAAUGAUGGGUAUUGUAACCCAGCUGUGGCUUGCAGAGGUUUUACAUCUUCCAUCUCCUACUCUUUUACCUGUCUUUGUCCUCCUUGUGUCUUUUGCAUCAUCACCUCUCCCUGCACAUUUAAACCCAUGGCUUAGAAUUUGGUGUGUACGUCAUUGUUUACAUGUAUGUGUUUGCUAUCUUCUGUACUUAGAUUGUCUUUAUAGUAAAGUGUUUGGGUGUCUGGCAUAAGUGUUCUUCAUCAUAGUCAAUUGAGGCUUAAUUACGUGUGAUUAAAAAGCUAAAUAAAAAUCUUUACCGGUCUGUGCUUCUGGGGGAUUUAGAUGUAAGAGAGACUUGUAUGUACAUUUCUUUAUUUUUCUCUCUGUUUCUCUCUCUCUCACUGACAGAGAGGUGGAGAAUGAACUGGAGGUGGUAUGGGAAGCUGCUGCAAGAGAAAACCAGCAUUUGCAGGACAGUUUGAUGGGCAAGGUCGAUGUCUUGUUGAGUCCUCAUGACUCACACCUGUCUCUGGGCUGGAAGCCACAGGAAAAUCUCAACCAAGCAUGCCAUCUGAGCAGCCCAGUGUCUCCUACUUUUAUCAUGAUGCCAAAACAGAGCAGUGCCAUGUUCAAUCCUGACUCUCAACAGCAUCCCAAUCUGUCAUGUGAUGAAAGCGAGAGGAAUGGAUUAGACUUCUAUUCCUGAUUUGACACUGAAAGUGAUGUCCCUAAUAAAGAAUAGGAUAAUUAAAAAAAUAAAUCGAGUAAGCACUACACAAGACCUAAGCAUGAUUAGACAUGCUACAGUGGAUAUAAAAAGUCUAAACACCCCUGUUAAAAUGGCAAGUUUUUGUGAUGGAAAAAAUUAAACCAAGAUAAACCAUGUCAGAACGGUUUCCAACCUCAGUGUGAAGUUACAACGUAUAAAAAUUAAGUGAAAAACAAUCAGAAACAUGUGAAGGAAAAAUAGGAGAAAGAAGAUGUUACAAUAACAUGAUUGCAUAAGUGUGCGCACACUUUUAUAAUUGGGGAUGAGACUGUGUUCAGAAUGAAUCGAUCACAUUCAAUCUCAUGUUCAAAAGUAAUGAUCAUACAGCUGUCAUCAAUUAAAUGAUUCUGAUUAAACCCAAAUAAAGACCAGCUGUUUCUGUAGGAUUUUCUUCAUAUCUUCUUGGUUUCAUCUGACUGCUGAAGCCAUGGUCUGCAAGGAGCUGACAAAGCCUCUGCAAAGUCUUAUUGUAGCAAGGAAUCGCUCUGGAGUGGGGAGCAAAAACAUUUCCAAAACAUUAUAUAUACCAUGGAAUACCGUGAAGGCCAUUGUCAACAAGUGUAGAAAAUGGAGCACGAAAGUGACAUUAAACAAGAACAAGACGUUGUUCUAAAAUUUACAACAACAAAAAAAGACAAAAACUCACCAGGGAGGCUACCAAGAGACCUACGGCAAAAUUAAAGGAGCUUCGGGAAUAUCAGACAAGCACCGAUUACUCUCUGCAUGUGACAACAAUCUCUCUUGUUCUUCACAUGUCUGGGCUAUGGGGUAGGGCGGCUAGAUGGGAGCCCUUUGUCACAAAAAACAUCCAAGCUCAACUAAAUCAACCCAAACCAUGUGGCAAAAUGUGUUAUAGUCCGAUGAGACCAAUUCCAAAAGGUAUGUUGGGUGCAAAAGAAUACAUCAACAAAAGAACACCAUACCCACGGUGAAGCAUGAUGGUGGCAGCAUCAUGCUUUAGGGCUGCUUUUCUUCAGCCAGGACUGCAGAUUUUUUCAAGUUGGAGGGUAUCAUGAAUAGCUACAAAUAUCAGCCGAUUUUAGUGCAAAACUUUCAGGUAUCUGCUAGUAAGCUGAAGAUGAAAAGGAAGUUCACCUUUCAGUAUGAACGUUGCCCAAAGCAUAGAUUCAAAUCAACAAAGGAAUGGCUUAAACAAAAUAUGAUCAAUGUUUUUGAAUUACCUAGCCAGAACUGAAUCCAACAAAAAAAAAAAUCUGUGGGGUGACCUCAAGCAUGCUGUGUGCACACGAGAUGCCCUCACAAUUUGACAGAUCUAGAAUGUUUUUGCAAGAAAGAGUGGCAAAAUAUUGCAAAAUGUCCCACGUUGAUAGACUUCUACCCAAAUAGACUGAGUGGUUUAGUAAAAUCAAAAGAUGCUUCAAAAUGUAUUAUGUAAAAUACAACAUGUAUUUUCUAAUUUUUUUUCCCCCCAUAAAAGUUUCUGAUAGUUUUUUUCCUUUUAUUUGUAUAUAUUGCUAUUGCACAUAAAAGAUUAGAAAAGAUCUGACAUGAUUUAUCUUGGUGUCAUUCUUUAACUUCACAAAAACCUGCCAUUUUAUCAGGGGUGUGUAGACUUUUUAUAAGUGUCUAAUAAUGGAUUGUCUUUCAUCCUGGUUUACUCUAUAAAGUUACCAUUGUAAGUUAAAAAUAAAUUUUUCUGCCAUAGAUGUUGAAAAUUCUUCAUCUCUUUUACAGCAACAAAAAUUAUCCAUCCAACAAAAGACUUUUUAGAAAACUAAAAAUGUUUAUUUUCCUGUGGUAUCACUCUAAAGAAUUAUUUUUUGCACCUUAAUUGCCAAAAAUGCAUUUCAAAUUCAUAGUUCUUUCUCAGCUGUAAAUAUAAGACAUGAUUUAGACUAUGUAGGCAAAAUACAGUUAACUAAUGGCAUCUGCCACUUCCAUGUGUUCAUGUUCUGUUAAUCUACUUACUUCCAUCCAUUCUUCAGUCUUUAAUUUUAUUAUGCUCUUAUGCCCUGAUUAAUGCUUGUGUUGUAAUUCAAAUGCCCUUCAUGUGCUAAUUAUCUAAUUAUCUGGUUUUAUAUAUAACUUAACAAAAUACAUCGAAAUAUGAAUAAAAAUUAGCUAUGGAAAAAAGUCCAUAGCCGCUCAAUUUCCUGAGACUUACAGGGGAUUGUACUUGUGAUCACACUGUGGUUGGAAUUAAUAGACUGAGAUAAUACAGCGUGGUGUCCUUGAGAAAGACUAAGACAGUAACUGAUUAGAAGAUUCUUCUCAGAUAAGUACAGAGGUCCAGAUUAUUGCAUUAAUGUGUAAUCUUUAUAACUGAUCAUUUCUGAAAAACAUGGUGAUAAUUUUUUUAAGUACAAGGGAUUGAACUGAGUGAUAAAUUACAACCCCAAUUCCAAAAAAGUUGGGACGCUGUGUAAAAUGUCAAAUAAAAACAGAAUGCAAUGAUUUGCAAAUUUCAUAAACCUGUAUGUUAUUCACAAUAGAACAUAGAAAACAUCAAAUGUUUAAACUGAGGAUUUUUUUUUUUUUUUUGAGGAAAAGCAUUUUAAGGAAAAAAGAAGGUAAUUUUGAAUUUGAUGGCCGCAACACAUCUCAAAAAAGUUGGGACAGAGACAACAAAAGGCUGGAAAAGUAAGUGUUACUUAAAAGAAACAGCUGGAGGAACAUUUUGCAACUAAUUAGGUUAAUUGACAGCAGGUCAGUAACAUGAGUGGGUAUAAAAAGAGCAUCUUAGAGAGGCAGAGUCUCUCAGAAGUAAAUAUGGGAUGGAAUCUGGAUGGAAGCAUAUGUUGCUCUAAAACCUGUAUAUACCUUUCAGCAUUGAUGGUGCCUUUCCAGAUGUGCAAGCUGCCCAUUCCAUAGGCACUAAUGCACCCCAUACCAUCAGAGAUGCAGAGAUGCUUUUGAACUGAGCGCUGAUAAAAAAUAAAAUUUAAAAAAGCCGUACGGUCCCUCUCCCCUUUAGUCCUCUUUAGUUUAGAGGACACGGCGUCCAUGGUUUCCAAAAAGAAUUUCACAUUUCGAUUCGUCUGACCACAGAACAGUUUUCCACUUUGUCUCAUCCAUUUUAAAUGAGCUUUGGUCCAGAGAAUAUGAUGGUGUUUCUGGACCAUUUUCACAUAGGGCUUCUUCUUUGCAUGAUAGAGCUUUAACCAGCAUUUGUGGAUGGCACGGUGAACUGUGUUCACAGACAAUGAGUUCUGGAGGUGUUUCUGAGCCCAUGCAGUGAUUUCCAUUACAGAAUCAUGUCUGUUUUUAAAGCAGUGCCACCUGAGGGCCCGAAGAUCAGAGGCAUGCAAUAUUGAUUGCACCCUCGUCCCUUGCGCACAGAGAUUUCUCCAGAUUCUCAGAAUCUUUUGAUGAUAUUAUGUAUUGUAGAUGAUUAUAUAUUCAUAGUCUUCACAAUUUUAGAUUGAGGAACAUUACUCUGAAAUUGUUCACAAAUUGUAGAUGCAGUUUUUCACAGAUUUCGCAGCCUUUUGUUGCCCGUCCCAACUUUUUUGAGAUGUGUUGCAGCCAUCAAAUUCUAAAUUACCUUAUUUUUUUCCUUAAAAUGGUACAUUUCCUAAGUUUAAACAUUUGAUAUGUUUUCUAUGUUCUAUUGUGAAUAACAUAUGGAUUUUUGAGAUUUGCAAAUCAUUGUAUUCUGUUUUUAUUUACAUUUAACAGUGUACCUCUUUUGAAAUUUGGGAUGCAAUUGCCUUGAAGUUUUGCCAAAAUAAACCUCUUCUUUUAUUUUAAUGUCUCCAAAGUUACACGUUUUUAAUAUUGUGAACAUGAGUAAACUGAUGUGUAGUUUGUCAGUAAUGUAUUAUCAAAUAAUUUCUUUUCAUUUUUUAAGUAUCAUCACUCCACCUGAAGUUUUAUUCCAGAUUUAUAGUCACAAUUUUCUAUGAAAAUACAGAAGGCUUUUUAUCACAUGUACAUUUAUAUUUUAUAAAUACCAAUAGUAAUUGAAAAAAAA